rnacentral:rRNA from 1 species
UUUACAGCUUGUUGGUGGGGUAAUGGCCUACCAAGCGCGACGACGGGUAGCCGGCCUGAGAGGGCGACCGGCCACACUGGGACUGAGACACGGCCCAGACUCCUACGGGAGGCAGCAGUGGGGAAUAUUGCACAAUGGGCGAAAGCCUGAUGCAGCGACGCCGCGUGAGGGAUGACGGCCUUCGGGUUGUAAACCUCUUUCAGCAGGGAAGAAGCGAAAGUGACGGUACCUGCAGAAGAAGCGCCGGCUAACUACGUGCCAGCAGCCGCGGUAAUACGUAGGGCGCAAGCGUUGUCCGGAAUUAUUGGGCGUAAAGAGCUCGUAGGCGGCUUGUCACGUCGGAUGUGAAAGCCCGGGGCUUAACCCCGGGUCUGCAUUCGAUACGGGCUAGCUAGAGUGUGGUAGGGGAGAUCGGAAUUCCUGGUGUAGCGGUGAAAUGCGCAGAUAUCAGGAGGAACACCGGUGGCGAAGGCGGAUCUCUGGGCCAUUACUGACGCUGAGGAGCGAAAGCGUGGGGAGCGAACAGGAUUAGAUACCCUGGUAGUCCACGCCGUAAACGUUGGGAACUAGGUGUUGGCGACAUUCCACGUCGUCGGUGCCGCAGCUAACGCAUUAA